GCCGUCGCGGCUUCUGGCUGUGCUGUGGUGUGAUGCAGCUUUUCUUGUGGGGACGAAGAAAGUGAAGUAGAAUGAAAGGCAAGUUUUUUCCUCUGAUAAUGGAUUAACGUAGGGACGUUGGAUGAUAGCCGGCAGUUUCUUUGACAGGUGUAAAAUGAUGCUCUCCGUGACUCUUUCUGUGCCAGGAAGUCUUAGAUAAACUAAGCAGGAAGGAAUUAGGAAUUAUGCAUGUAGUUAUCCAGGGACCUGUCAGAUCCGGUGACCAGAAAGCACUUUUAAUUAGUAGAGAGGUUUUUCUAACUUAAGAUUUUAAAGCAAUGUACUUUAAUGCUGCUACUCUUCUUUUUUUUGGCUUGCUCAAGUUACACUCAUCAUUUUACAUAAAAUGCCAUUAGGUGUUUUUUGUGAUGCCUAGCUCUACACAGCCUAAGCAGUGCAGUGCCUUAAAGAAAUGAAAAAUGGGCAAUAGUCAUUUGUAUUUUUUUUGACGUAACAUUUUUCUCUAAAUUUCCCAGAUUCACAUUAUAAGCUUAUAGUGUGCAUCUAUAGAAUGGGGUUGACACUUCCAAAUACCCAGUAUCCAGAAAGAUGCUUUGGUGAAAUCCAGGAAAUGGAUCGCUACGGGUUGUAAUAUUCCAUUCCAGCCUUCCCUGCAGUCCACACAUGUGCAAGGAGAGGACUGCUGUCUUCUCUAAAUGUCACCUAAGCCUUUAAGGCUUUAAAGCUUUUUCCUCCCCCAAAACUGGUACUAUACAUUUAUAAGAUACUGAAAAAUAAUUGUAGAGGGACGUAUUUUGUAGAAUGAGGAGAUGUGGUGCUUUUUUUCCCUCAAAGUGCUUUCUCAGCAGGCCAGAGCCCUGCCUUAAGGACGAGGGGGAAGAAGAGGUGGAGGCAGACUCUUCUCCCUCAAGGCUUGUGGCACUGAAUGCCGUCCUGGAAGGUCAGCAGAGCACAGCCGGGCUGUCCAGCAGGGUUCCUGACAGGGAGAACCUACUGGAGCUUCCGUGCUUCUGCCGACCGUGGGCAUCCACCCCGUGCUCCCGCCCGUGGAUGUCCGGGUGCAAGCUGGAGUGCCAGUGGGGAGAAGAACGUGGAUUCCUGGUUUACAAGAAAGAAAUGCCACCGGCCUUAGAAGCACAUGAUGAGUUUUACUCCAGUCCUCCGGAGAACGGUUCCAGGAUUAUGUUCCCAGAGGGCUGA
rnacentral:lncRNA from 1 species